GCUAGCGUAGCUUAAUUAAAGCAUGACACUGAAGAUGUUAAGAUGGGGCCUAAUAAGUCCCGAGAGCA
rnacentral:tRNA from 1 species